rnacentral:rRNA from 1 species
GCGCAGCAGGCGCGAAACUCCGCAAUGCUCGAAAGAGUGACGGGGGAUUCCAAGUGCCUACGCUUAGCGUAGGCUGUUCAGAUGCCUAAAAAGCAUCUGGAGUAAGGGCUGGGUAAGACGGGUGCCAUCUGCAGUGGUAAUGAAAAACUUGCUACUGCAAGGCAUAAGCCGCCGCGGUAAUACCCGCAGCCCGAGUGGUAGUCGCUUUUAUUGGGCCUAAAGCGUCCGUAGCCGGUCUGGUAAAUGCCUGGGGUAAAAUCGUGGGGCCUAACCUCACGAAUUCCGGGUAGACUGCCAGACUUGGGACCGGUUGAGGGAGAGGGUACUCCGAGGGGUAGGGGUGAAAAUCCUGUAAUCCUUGGAGGACCACCGGUGGCGAAAGCGCUCUCCUAGGACGGUCGACGGUGAGGGACGAAAAGCCAGGGGAGCAAAACCGGAUUAGAUAACCCGUGUAGU